CAGCAGCCACGGGGAUACGUAGGUGGCAAGCGUUGUCCGGAAUUAUUGGGCGUAAAGGGCUCGCAGGCGGUUUCUUAAGUCUGAUGUGAAAGCCCCCGGCUCAACCGGGGAGGGUCAUUGGAAACUGGGAAACUUGAGUGCAGAAGAGGAGAGUGGAAUUCCACAUGUAGCGGUGAAAUGCGUAGAGAUGUGGAGGAACACCAGUGGCGAAGGCGACUCUCUGGUCUGUAACUGACGCUGAGGAGCGAAAGCGUGGGGAGCGAACAGGAUUAGAUACCCGGGUAGUCCCUGUCUCUUAUAC
rnacentral:rRNA from 1 species